rnacentral:rRNA from 1 species
UUACCUUUCAAUGCAGAGGUGCUGAGCAAAUUAGUUGUUCUUGCAGCGAAACUUGCUCAGUGCCUCCUGUAUUAUACCCUUGUCUCUCAAAUACUAUUUGUUUCCUCGGCGGGCUUGCCUGCCGGUUGGAUAAAACCAUAACCCUUUUAAUUUUCAAUCAGCGUCUGAACAAAUUAAUAAUUACAACUUUCAACAACGGAUCUCUUGGUUCUGGCAUCGAUGAAGAACGCAGCGAAAUGCGAUAAGUAGUGUGAAUUGCAGAAUUCAGUGAAUCAUCGAAUCUUUGAACGCACAUUGCGCCCCUUGGUAUUCCAUGGGGCAUGCCUGUUCGAGCGUCAUUUGUACCUUCAAGCUCUGCUUGGUGUUGGGUGUUUGUCCUUGCCGUUUGGGGUAGGACUCGCCUUAAAGUAAUUGGCAGCCAGUACUCUGGUUUGAAGCGCAGCACAAGUCGCGAUUCAAGCUUGAAUAAUAGCUUCCACUAAGUUAUAUAUCACUUUUGACCUCGGAUCAGGUAGGGAUACCCGCUGAACUUAAGCAUAUCAAUAAGCGGAGGAAAAGAAACCAACAGGGAUUGCCCUAGUAACGGCGAGUGAAGCGGCAACAGCUCAAAUUUGAAAUCUGGCUCUUUCAGGGUCCGAGUUGUAAUUUGCAGAGGGCGCUUUGGUGUUGGCAGCGGUCCAAGUUCCUUGGAACAGGACGUCACAGAGGGUGAGAAUCCCGUACGUGGUCGCUAGCCUUCGCCGUGUAAAGCCCCUUCGACGAGUC